rnacentral:rRNA from 1 species
AUGGCUAACAAUUCAACUUCUUCAGUUGACAAGCCCAUACCCGAGACCUCGUCCAGAUACCUCACAGACUGUGUCACAUCGCACAACUUUGGGGUGACUAGGUACUCGCUGCUCGACGGCAGGGGUAUCAACAACUUCAUUAGCUCCAGCAGAUUCAGCGUCAGCGGCUUUGACUGGAACAUCAGGAUCUAUCCUGAUGGGGAAAGGGAGCAAGACAAAGCUGCCUACAUGUCCGUCUUCUUGUGUUUCUGCAGUGGUGCAACAAUGGAUGUGAAGGUCAAGUUCACUUUGAGUUUACUCGGGAAAGAUGGGAAAAUUAGUAAUCUAAAUAGCAAAACAACAACAGCCAACUUUAAGCCUGUAGGUGAUACAUGGGGCUGGGACAAAUUCAUUGGCAAGUCCAGGCUGCAAGAACUACUAUCCUGCAAUGACGACUGCUUCACAAUCAGGUGCGUUUUGACCAUCAUAAAAGACCAUCACACGGAAGAUGUAAGCACUGUCCUAGUCCCGGUCCCCCAGUCAGACCUCCACACGCACUUGGCAAACAUGUUGAAGGACGGACAAGGCGUGGAUGUGACAUUCAGUGUUGGCGGCCAACUGUUCAGUGCACACCGAUACGUGUUAGCCGCACGAUUGUCAGUCUUCAAAGCUGAGCUGUUUGGUCAAAUGAAAGAGACCACCAUGGAACGUAUCAAGAUCGAUGACAUGGAGCCUGCCAUCUUUGAUGCACUUCUUCACUUCAUAUACACAGAUAACCUGCCAAACAAAUGUGAUGUUGAUCAAAAUGUGGCAUUGCAACACUUGUUGGUUGCCACAGAUCGGUAUGGACUGGAGAGGCUAAAGGCCAUUUGCGAAGGGAGGCUAUGCCAUAGAAUUGAUGUGCAAACAGUUGCAACGACGCUUGCUUUAGCGGAGCAGCACCACACUCCACACCUCAAAAAUGCUUGUCUCAGAUACCUUUGUUCACGAGACGUGCUCCCAGCUGUCAAGGAGACCGACGGAUUCAAGCACCUCACUGCAAGCUGCCCAGAGAUUAUGAUGGAAAGUUUCGAGAAGGUCGUACCACCGUCAGGAGUAUGA